GCUUUUGGCCCUCAAACUAUCGUGCACGUAACACUUUGCUUCUCAAACUUCAAUUUGUUUUAAUUGCUGGCUCGAACUUUCUAAGUUAUUGCAACCCAGUCCUACAAUUUAAGUAUUCGGCUAAAUUAAUAUUGAUAUAUUUUUUAUAUAGAAGUGAUGUAGCACCUUAAUUAUUAUUACAUCAUCAAUCUCUUUUCUCAAAAAAAAAAAAUAUUACAUCAUCAAUCUCAAUACCUCCACAUCACUUCUAUAUCAAACAAUUUGUCAAUAUUUAGCCAACUAAAUUGGAUUAUGAGACUUAAUUGUAAUUAUACAGAAAGUUCGAAUAAAUAAUUACAACAAAAUAAAAUUUGAGGACCAAAGUGCCACGCUA
rnacentral:lncRNA from 1 species